rnacentral:rRNA from 1 species
UAUAGUUGGAUCCUGACUCAUGAUGAACGCUAUCUACAAGCUUCAAACAUGCAAGUCUACGGGCACCACUAGGUAGCAAUACUGAUGUGGCCCACCGGCGCACGGGUGCGUAACGCUUAUCCUACCUUCCCGAUACUCUUGGAUACCCUUCCGACCGGGAGAUUAAUACUAUAUGGUGUUACAAUUCCGGCAUGUCAUUAGAAACUAAAGAUCCAUCCGUAUCCGAUGGGGAUGCGUGACAUCACAUAAUAGGCGGCGUAACGGCCCACCUAUUCUACAAUGUCUAGGGGUUCUGAGAGGAAGGUCCCCCACACUGGAACUGAGACACGGUCCAAACUCCUACAGGAGGCAGCAUUGACGAAUAUCGGUCAAUGGUCGGAAUACUGAACCAUCCAAGUAACGUGAACGAUGAAUGUUCUAUGGAUUGUAUCCUUCUAUUAUACGGGAAUACCACCUCCCACUUGUGGGAGCUUGUAUGUACCGUAUGAAUAACCAUCGGCUAACUCCGCUGCCAGCAGCCGUAGUAAUACCGACGAUGCGACCGUUAUCCGGAUAUAUUGGGUAUAAAGGGAGCGUAUACAGCAUGUGAACUCACUAGUGAAUCGAUGCGGCUCAGACGCACCACUGCACUAGAUACUGGCGUCCUUGAGUGCGGUUGAGGUAUGUGAAUUCGUGGUGUAGCGGUGAAAUGCUUAGAUAUCACGAAGAACUCCGAUUGCGAAGGCAGCAUACUAAGCCGCUACUGACGUUGAGGCUCGAAAGUGUGGGUAUCAAACAGGAUUAGAUACCCUGGUAGUCCACACGGUAAACGAUGAAUACUCGCUGUUGGCGAUAUACAGUCAGCGGCCAAGCGAAAGCAUUAAGUAUUCCACCUGGGGAGUACGCCGGCAACGGUGAAACUCAAAGGAAUUGACGGGGGCCCGCACAAGCGGAGGAACAUGUGGUUUAAUUCGAUGAUACGCGAGGAACCUUACCCGGGCUUAAAUUGCGCUGGACAGAUUGGGAGACCAAUCCUUCUUCGGACCAGUGUGAAGGUGCUGCAUGGUUGUCGUCAGCUCGUGCCGUGAGGUGUCGGCUUAAGUGCCAUAACGAGCGCAACCCUUGCCAUUAGUUACUAACAGGUCAUGCUGAGGACUCUAGUGGGACUGCCAUCGUAAGAUGUGAGGAAGGUGGGGAUGACGUCAAAUCAGCACGGCCCUUACGUCCGGGGCUACACACGUGUUACAAUGGGAGGUACAGAAGGCUGCUACCCGGCGACGGGAUGCCAAUCCCCAAAACCUCUCUCAGUUCGGAUUGGAGUCUGCAACCCGACUCCAUGAAGCUGGAUUCGCUAGUAAUCGCGCAUCAGCCACGGCGCGGUGAAUACGUUCCCGGGCCUGUACACACCGCCCGUCA